rnacentral:sRNA from 1 species
GAUCUAUCCGCAUUUUGUCCCUGGCUCUCGACUUUUCGUCGUCAUGAUUUUCAAAAUGCCAUGUCCUCAUCCAAAACUGAAUGAUGAUUUCCAUUCCCAGUCGAUCAAUGCAAUGUAACCCCGCGAUGGAAUUCACACCAACCCUCUCAUGUUCCGGAGAAUGAUCACCCAUUGUUGGACGAGGUGGUUGGUUCUUCUAUUCCUUUUCCCGCCUUCUUUAUCAUACCACAUUUGCUUUUAACUCAUGAAUUAUGUCUUGUGUCAAAAUUGCUUGAUGAAGUCACCUAGCACACGUCACCCAAUCGUGCUUCUUCUGCGCGGAGACCAUCCGGCUAGACACUAUUGUGGGGAGCGGGUAGCCCCCGGAGACAAAGUUACCCGCGAGGAUCAGCAUCCUCGCUCACCAAAAAGGCUUUUCACAGGCCAGACCGCAAACAUGCCA